GUGGGCUGUUUAUUUCAUCCCUUCAAGGAGAUGUAUAGAACAACAUAAGGAAGAGAAAAAAGAUGUUGAAAGUAGAUCACAGUGGGCGUAGUCAAAAGCAAAAGACAUGUCCAUGUCUUAACUUCUAUGAGUGUGGUAAAAAGAUGAAGCUCGGUAGCUGAAAAUCCACUUUGCCUCCGGUACACAAGCAUGACCCCCAAAAGAUAGGG
rnacentral:misc_RNA from 1 species